UACGAAGGGGGCUAGCGUUGUUCGGAAUUACUGGGCGUAAAGCGCACGUAGGCGGAUCUUUAAGUCAGAGGUGAAAUCCCAAGGCUCAACCUUGGAACUGCCUUUGAUACUGGGGAUCUUGAGUCCGGAAGAGGUGAGUGGAACUGCGAGUGUAGAGGUGAAAUUCGUAGAUAUUCGCAAGAACACCAGUGGCGAAGGCGACUUACUGGACACAUAUUGACGCUGAGGUGCGAAAGCGUGGGGAGCAAACAGG
rnacentral:rRNA from 1 species